AUGCUAAAAAUGGUUAUAAUAGGAGAAGCUGAUGGCAAUGAAGGAGAUGGUUCUGGAAGUCAGUCCCUUCACCGGAGGACAAAGCGUGCUGCUAAUCGCCAGCCACGCCCAAAACGUAGUAUUGAGCAGGGAGAGGAGGUUGAGGCCAGCGGUGAAGGAGUUGAGGUGGCCGCCCAGGAAGAUGUGGAGCGACCAUCACAAGAUGACAGGUUAAGGGCAUCACCAGGGCGGUUUGCGAAGUUUAACAGCUCGCUAUCCCCGCCACAGAAGUCAGAGCUAGUUUUAAGGUUGUUUGGGGGCCUCUUGAACUUAUCAAAUACACUUCCAGGGGACUUCAGUAAAUUCCUGGUGCAGUCCUGCCAGCCAGAGACAUCUGAAAUGGUGUUCCCAGGCAGGGGAAGUAUCCGUGUCGAUGCUGGCAGUGUUCAAAGCGUAUUUGAUCUUCCUAACAGGGGUCUAAAAGUCAGAUAUAAAGUUAACAAGGAUACAAAUAGAAGAUUCAGAGAGACUUUCAACAUACGUGGAGAUUCUCAUCCCCAGAUCACUACAUGGACCAAGAUGAUUAAGGAUAUGGGGAUCCUGUACCUUGACGCGCUCGUUCAUGACAUCCCAAUAAGCAACUGUGCUAUACGAUCAAAUGCAUGGGACAGCAACCUAAUUGCCAAGGUGAUCAAGAAGGACACGAUCUCUCCUGGUGUGUUCAGCAAAUUACAAAAAAAGGCAAAGAUUGCCAAAGUGGUCAAUGACUUGUGCAAGGUAGUAACUGAACAGGUUGGCAUCUUCAUUGAAGCAGUUGCCAAGAUCGAUGAUGAGGAACCGGAUGUUGAUCCAUAUGUACAUCAGACAUCAACGGGAACCGCUCCGUCACGCCGUGCUCCAAAAAGGAAGAGACAGGUUUCACCUAUACCAGAAGAAGAAGAGUUCGAUGAGGAGGAGUCAGACGAAGAUGAUGAAAUGGAAGUACCACAAGAUGUUGAAGACGAGGGGAGACAGAUGAGGAUGAAUCAGAGGAGGAGGACAAAGAGGAGGAUGAUAAAGAAGAAGAGGAUGAUGAUGAUGAUGAGGAGGAGGAGGAAGAGGAGGAGGAUGAAGAGGAGGAGGAGGACAAAGGAAAAGAGGACAAAGGAGAGGAGGAGGGCAAGGAAGAAGAUAGUGAGGCGGAGGAGGAAGAACAAGAAAAUGUUGGUAAAGAAGGAGAUGGAAACAAAGCUACAACAAUCGAUGGUAGUGAGGGGGAAGGAGAUGACGAUGAAGAAGACGAAGAUGCCGAUCCUGAUGAUCAAGAGGGAUCCAAUAGAGGCAGUGACAGUUCAGAUGAUGAUGAUGACAAUGCCCCUGGUUCUGGUGGUACAGGCAGCAACACAACCAGAUCUGCCAACCCUACCAGCAGCAGCAACUCAAUGA
rnacentral:rRNA from 1 species